AUUGAACGCUGGCGGCAGGCCUAACACAUGCAAGUCGAACGAGUGGCGGACGGGUGAGUAAUGUCUGGGAAACUGCCCGAUGGAGGGGGAUAACUACUGGAAACGGUAGCUAAUACCGCAUACCAUCGGAUGUGCCCAGAUGGGAUUAGCUAGUAGGUGGGGUAACGGCUCACCUAGGCGACGAUCCCUAGCUGGUCUGAGAGGAGGACCAGCGACACUGGAACUGAGACACGGUCCAGAGUCCUACGGGAGGCAGCAGUGGGGAAUAUUGCACAAUGGGCGCAAGCCUGAUGCAGACAUGCCGGGGGUAUGAAGAAGGCCGUCGGGUUGUAAAGUACUUUAAGCCAUGACGCGGUAGUGGCAGAAGAAGCACCGGCUAACUACGUGCCAGCAGCCGCGGUAAUAC
rnacentral:rRNA from 1 species